rnacentral:lncRNA from 1 species
UGUGAGAGAGCCCGAUGAAAAUAACUUGAAAUGGUUGAUCUUCAACCACACCCACAAUUAGCAAUGAUAAAAGCAUGAAAAAGAGGGAAAGCUUAGCACACCUGGUGCACUGCCUCAGGAACGGGGCAGUCCUUGAAGCCCAGGAACCAAUACUCCUUGCCAGAGGCGCUACUAUCUGACUUACAAUUGAGAAGACUGAGGCUGCAAAAGGUAAAAACUACUUACUGAAGGUCCUACAGCUGGUAAGUGCCAGAGCUGGAAUUGAGACCAGGGCCCUUUGAAUUCCAACACCUUGAUUGUUUCAGGCAACCUGUCAUCCCCAUUUGGGUUUCUCUUUUGCUUUAGAAUUUAGUACUAAGAGGCAAGGUCUACAUCCAGACGACAGUAUUUAAGGGUUGUGUUCACCAGACUCUACUCCUUGGGAAACUGCUUCAAAGUGGCUAAGAGGUGAAUCUUAGUGUGGGCAGUUUACAGAACUGGAAGUCUGGACACCUGGAUUCUGACUCUGGAAACUCCUCCCAUUUAUCCUGUGACCUGGGGUUCCUUCCCCUUGCUACACUUCGAUUUUCAUGUGUAAAAUGGGGAGGACAAUGCUGAGUUCACAUGGUUGCCUCAUCUAAUUGAAUACCUUAGACAUUAUUGAA